UACAGAGGUCCCAAGCGUUGUUCGGAUUCAUUGGGCGUAAAGGGUGCGUAGGUGGCGCCGUAAGUCAGGUGUGAAAUUUCGGAGCUUAACUCCGAAACUGCAUUUGAUACUGCGGUGCUUGAGGACUGGAGAGGAGACUGGAAUUUACGGUGUAGCAGUGAAAUGCGUAGAGAUCGUAAGGAAGACCAGUGGCGAAGGCGGGUCUCUGGACCAGUUCCUGACACUGAGGCACGAAGGCCAGGGGAGCAAACGGG
rnacentral:rRNA from 1 species